AGAAAAACGCCAUUUAAAUGCUACCAAGAACCUGUUUGGAACGAAACCUCUAAAAACUGUUCAGGAUGUAAGCCUGGGUAUUAUGGUAGUAAUUGCAGUCAGUCUUGUAAGUAUCCUACUUUUGGAGCUGGUUGUCAACAAAUGUGCACCUGUCGUGAGAAACAAUGUGAUUUUUCGAUUGGAUGUUCAACAAUGGAUAAUAAAACUGUUAAGAUGGAUAAAAAGACUAGUGAAAUGGAUAAUACGACUGCUGAGAUGGAUACCAAGACUUUUGAGAUGGAUAGUAAAACUGCUAAGAUGGAUACUAAGAUUAUUGAGAUGGAUAAUAAGACUGUUGAGAUAAGCCAAUCUAAAGAAACCUUAUUCCAGGGCACAUUAGGUACACUGUUUAAUACAAAUAACAUGUCAAUAAUGGUUGUUUCUGUAGUUGGCUUGAUUUUGAUAACACUUAUGAUUGUUUUUGCAUGUAAACAGAUACGUAAGAAAUGUUCACAAAGGUGUAUAUUGAAUUGUCAUAAUAAAGAAAAUCUUCCAGAUGACAGCAUGCAAGAACCAGUACAUUAUGAAGAAAUUUUGAAUAUUACAGUUUUAUCUACGGUAGAAGGUCAUGAAUCAGUUCAUCAAUCUGACAAUGGCUAACAAAAAAAAUGUUUGAGUAGGUUUGUAAGCCAUCAGUUUAAACAGAAAGCUUCAAACAAGAUCAUUUACAUAACAUGGUUCAAGUGUGUAUUUUAGCGAGUUUUAUAAAACCUAGAUGUAUGCAUUUCCACUAGAAUAUGGCAAAUGUUUUCUUGGUGAUAUUAGCUUUCAAAUUAUUCAACAAGAGGUUUGGUAAGAGCAUCAAUGAAAACAUGUAAAAAUCUUUAUAUGGCACGGUUUUCAAAUAAAGAUGAUAGUAGUAAUGACUUUUUAACUGUUAUAUGUAUUCCUGGUUAUUGUGAAUGCAAAACUGUAACAUAGAAUAAAAAUAUUCUGCAUGAAAUUGAAACCAUCUCAGUUAAAUAUAUUAGUUAGUCUUAAUUGCUUUAAAUGACAUAUCAAUUUUGUUCUUUCAUUCUGUUUUAAAUCCAGACUGUGUAAUUGAUUUGGAAUAUACGACUUGAAACAUUAGAAAAAAACUUUUUAUGAACGCAUGAUUAGAAAUAUUGAAUAUAAUCAAGUAGCAGUUACAAGCUUUUAAAUAAUGCAUUAUGUAAAAAUGUAUGCGUGCAAACAUUGAAAAAAAUAUGUCAGGGUGUACAUUGUAAACAAAAGGAAAAUGUAAUACACUUGCAUUUUGAAUGGGACAAUGUUGAAACAUAUGGAAUAUAAGUAUUUUUGUCAUUCAAAAUACGAUGGAAACAUAUUGUUUUGGGAUUAUUUCAUGUACUAAGGUAAACAAUCUAAAUGUUUAAACCUGCUUAUUACCUUUUUAGCUUACAGAACAGCUAAACAAAAGAAUAAAUGAAAUUGAAUAUAGUAUAUGCAGUUAUGUUAAAUAAUCUGCUUGAUUUAUGGAUCAGUUCAACGUUAUUUGAAUGGAAAUGUUGACUGCAACUUUAAUUAAAUCUCUGUAAAUAAUGUGAUAUGUUUUCUUAUCGUUUUGUAAAAUAUCCCAUUAUUCUUUAAUUACUUAAAAGAGAUCUGUCUUUUAGUAGGACUGUCAUAAAAUGGAGAAGCAGCUCUGUAAUGCUGAGCAUGUGCCUCCAAAUAAAGACAGCAAAGAUUUUUUUUGUUAUUUUUAUCAACUAGUAAAUGUAAUAACUGGACAACUUUUAUAGACAAAAUAUUAUGAUCAACUAUAAAUAUGACUUUCAACACCUGUUUUUAAAUUAGAUUUAACACCCUGUGAGAAGUUUUAUGUACUUACAAAAUUUCUUGCUCUUUAUGCACACGUUAAAAAUAAUAAACUUUUGUCGUUUUUUACCAGCUUAACUGUUCGCCUAAAAACGUCACUUUUUUCGAUUCGCGAUUGUUUUUUUUUGUUAUAGUCAACGGACCUACAAAUAAGAUUAAAAUAACUGAAAUAGUGGAGACAUUCAUAGAAUACUAUUUCUAGCAUGUCAGUACUAAACAAAUAUAUUGACUGGUCAAUCUACUUUGAACAGGUAAAAAUUUGAUAAAUUGUUUCUCAAUAUAGCAAUUUGUUAUACCCUUGUUAUACCCUUCUAUAUACAAAAAAGUCCAGCAUGUUGAUUGCUUGAUUGUUACUUUUAAAAAUCGACUGUUCAAAACGUUAUUGAAUUAGUAGUGGUAUAACAAAACAGUUCUUGACUGGGGUCGAGGGCAACAUUUGAUCUGUCGUACCAGCUCACAAACUUUUCCCGUGGACUUUGGCUUUGGGCAACAGUUUGUGACCCGGUCCAACAGUCGCCUACUUACCCAGUCAACAACUGUAUAAUAAUAAACCGUACAACUAAGUAUAAUAAAAAUUUCAUAAUUCUUCUGGUUGACUUUCAAUGAAAACUUAAUGCUGUCAUACGGCAGUAAUAUUCACACUCAAGUGUUUGCUCCUAAAUUGAAUCUUUCUUGCACCUGUGUUUAUCAAGUGGAGGCCCUAUAUACAAUAUCUGUAUUGGUUACAUAUAUUUAACCCUAACGAUAUAACUCGUUAACAACCAGGAUGAGAUUUUUUUCCAUUACUAUGUCAGAAUCUGUUUUUGUACGAUUUAGAAUUGCAAUGUUUGUUUG